GAUCAUGGCUCAGGAUGAACGCUAGCUACAGGCUUAACACAUGCAAGUCGAGGGGCAGCAUGGUCUUAGCUUGCUAAGGCCGAUGGCGACCGGCGCACGGGUGAGUAACGCGUAUCCAACCUGCCCUUACACUCUUGGGACAGCCUUCUGAAAGGGAGAUUAAUACAAGAUGUUAUCAUGAGUAAGCAUUUUCGCAUGAUUAAAGGUUUACCGGUGUAAGAUGGGGAUGCGUU
rnacentral:rRNA from 1 species